rnacentral:rRNA from 1 species
ACGACCGGCGCACGGGUGCGUAACGCGUAUGCAAUCUGCCUUAUACAGAAGAAUAGCCCUGAGAAAUUGGGAUUAAUGCUUCAUGGAAUUACGAAGUGGCAUCACUUUGUACUUAAAACUCCGGUGGUAUAAGAUGGGCAUGCGUAUGAUUAGCUAGAUGGUGAGGUAAUGGCUCACCAUGGCGACGAUCAUUAGGGGUCCUGAGAGGGUGAUCCCCCACACUGGUACUGAGACACGGACCAGACUCCUACGGGAGGCAGCAGUGAGGAAUAUUGGGCAAUGGAGGCAACUCUGACCCAGCCAUACCGCGUGAAGGAAGACUGUCCUAUGGAUUGUAAACUUCUUUUAUAUGGGAAGAAUAAGGUCUACGUGUAGACUGAUGACUGUACCAUAUGAAUAAGGACCGGCUAACUCCGUGCCAGCAGCCGCGGUAAUACGGAGGGUUCAAGCGUUAUCCGGAUUUAUUGGGUUUAAAGGGUCCGUAGGCGGACUAAUAAGUCAGUGGUGAAAUCCUGCAGCUCAACUGUAGAACUGCCAUUGAAACUGUUAGUCUUGAAUUAUUUGGAAGUUGGCGGAAUGAGUAGUGUAGCGGUGAAAUGCAUAGAUAUUACUCAGAACACCGAUUGCGAAGGCAGCUGACUACGAAUAUAUUGACGCUGAUGGACGGAAGCGUAGGUAGCGAACAGGAUUAGAUACCCUGGUAGUCUACGCCCGUAACGAUGGAUACUAGUUUGUCGGGGAAAUU